rnacentral:rRNA from 1 species
GAUGAACGCUGGCGGCGUGCCUAAUACAUGCAAGUCGAGCGAACAGACGAGGAGCUUGCUCCUCUGACGUUAGCGGCGGACGGGUGAGUAACACGUGGAUAACCUACCUAUAAGACUGGGAUAACUUCGGGAAACCGGAGCUAAUACCGGAUAAUAUAUUGAACCGCAUGGUUCAAUAGUGAAAGACGGUUUUGCUGUCACUUAUAGAUGGAUCCGCGCCGCAUUAGCUAGUUGGUAAGGUAACGGCUUACCAAGGCAACGAUGCGUAGCCGACCUGAGAGGGGGAUCGGCCGCACUGGAACUGAGACACGGUCCAGACUCCUACGGGAGGCAGCAGUAGGGAAUCUUCCGCAAUGGGCGAAAGCCUGACGGAGCAACGCCGCGUGAGUGAUGAAGGUCUUCGGAUCGUAAAACUCUGUUAUUAGGGAAGAACAAAUGUGUAAGUAACGAUGCACGUCUUGACGGUACCUAAUCAGAAAACCACGGCUAACUACGU